rnacentral:rRNA from 1 species
UGGGGAAUUUUGCACAAUGGGGGAAACCCUGAUGCAGCGACGCCGCGUGAUUUAGAAGGCCUUCGGGUUGUAAAAAUCUUUUCUAUGGGAAGAAAAUGACAGUACCAUAGGAAUAAGGACCGGCUAAUUACGUGCCAGCAGCCGCGGUAAUACGUAGGGGGCUAGCGUUGUCCGGAAUCACUGGGCGUAAAGGGUUCGCAGGCGGAAAUGCAAGUCAGGUGUAAAAGGCAGUAGCUUAACUACUGUAAGCAUUUGAAACUGCAUAUCUUGAGAAGAGUAGAGGUAAGUGGAAUUUUUAGUGUAGCGGUGAAAUGCGUAGAUAUUAAAAAGAAUACCGGUGGCGAAGGCGACUUACUGGACUCAUUCUGACGCUGAGGAACGAAAGCGUGGGUAGCAAACAGG